rnacentral:rRNA from 1 species
CAGCCGCCGCGGUAAUACGAAGGGUGCAAGCGUUAAUCGGAAUUACUGGGCGUAAAGCGUGCGUAGGCGGUGAGUUAAGUCUGCUGUGAAAUCCCCGGGCUCAACCUGGGAAUGGCAGUGGAUACUGGCUCGCUAGAGUGUGUCAGAGGAUGGUGGAAUUCCCGAUGUAGCGGUGAAAUGCGUAGAGAUCGGGAGGAACAUCAGUGGCGAAGGCGGCCAUCUGGGACAACACUGACGCUGAGGCACGAAAGCGUGGGGAGCAAACAGGAUUAGAUACCCGGGUAGUCCCUGUCUCUUAUAC